rnacentral:rRNA from 1 species
CCUACGGGAGGCAGCAGUGGGGGAUAUUGGACAAUGGGGGGAACCCUGAACCAGCGACGCCGCGUGAGUGAAGAAGUCUUUCGGGAUGGAAAACUCUGUCAGCAGGGAAGAAAGCAAUGACGGUACCUGACCAAGAAGCCCCGGCUAAAUACGGGCCAGCAGCCGGGGUAAUACGGGGGGGGCAAGCGUUAUCCGGAAUUACGUGGUGUAAAGGGAGCGGAGAGGGCUGUGCAAGUCUGGAGUGAAAGGCGGGGGCCCAACCCCUGGACUGCCGUGGAACCUGUCUGGCUGGAGUGCAGGGGAGGUAAGCGGAAUGCCUGGUGUAGCGGUGAAAUGCGUAGAUAUUAGGCGGAACACCAGUGGCGAAGGCGGCUUACUGGACUGUAACUGACGUUGAGGCUCGAAAGCGUGGGGAGCAAACAGGAUUAGAUACCCGAGUAGUC